rnacentral:rRNA from 1 species
UAGGAAUCUUCCACAAUGGACGAAAGUACUGAUGGAGCAACGCCGCGUGAGUGAAGAAGGUUUUCGGAUCGUAAAGCUCUGUUGUUGGUGAAGAAGGAUAGAGGCAGUAACUGGUCUUUAUUUGACGGUAAUCAACCAGAAAGUCACGGCUAACUACGUGCCAG